rnacentral:rRNA from 1 species
UACGUAGGGUGCGAGCGUUAAUCGGAAUUACUGGGCGUAAAGCGUGCGCAGGCGGUCUGUUAAGACCGAUGUGAAAUCCCCGGGCUUAACCUGGGAACUGCAUUGGUGACUGGCAGGCUUUGAGUGUGGCAGAGGGAGGUAGAAUUCCACGUGUAGCAGUGAAAUGCGUAGAGAUGUGGAGGAAUCCCGAUGGCGAAGGCAGCCUCCUGGGCCAACACUGACGCUCAUGCACGAAAGCGUGGGGAGCAAACAGG